GGUGGUAGCUAGGUUUCUAACUGCUUGCGGGGGAUAUUACAGAUAAGCAAGGGAGGAAGCUAGAAUGAUUUAUGUAAUAUGGAUCAGAAUUGCAGACAUCACUACAAACUCAUGUUUGGCUUAAUAUAGAUGGCUACAUAUAGAAAUAUUCAUGGGUAUUUGUAUAUUAAAGAGGUAGCAUACACACGUAUUUCAUUGCUCUAUCUGCUGAGAGGGCCUAGAUGCAAACACAUUCCAGCAGCAACUAACCGACCGCCCCCACCCCCACACCUCCGAUCCUGCUAUCUAACUCCAUGCCUUCAACAAAAGGAGUCAGGGCUCUUUGCAGAAAUGCUGGAUUCAGGAAAUACACCAGAUGAGCCUGGAGUACUGUGUAGUGCCAGAAAGUUAAAACGUGCUCAAAACAACAAACAAUGAUGGGGCAAGGGGAUACAAGAGCCAAAUCAAAGAGUUUUUAGCAGCCACAUUAAAACAAUUUGUGCAAUGAAAUAAAGAAGUACUUAUAAUACAAGGUAUAAAACAAAUAUCCAUGAUUCUUUACUGAUAAAAAUAAAUAAAUGACUGAAUAAAGCAAUAAAUGGGAGAGGACAGACAAAUCUAUGCAAAAGAAUUCCAAAUACUUGACAUAACUGUUUUAACUGUUUUAACUGCCUUUAAGGAGGUAGAGCAAAACUUUCCACUCUGUAAGUGCAUGUAAGUGCAGACCAUGCAUAACGACUUUUUUUUUUUUCCCCAAAAAGUACUUCAUGGAAAGAAAAACAGUAACUUUACAAAUACUAUCUCAAGCCAGGUGAUCAAGGUUAACAUCAACAGUGAUAAGUCAUAAUGAUAGUAUGUACCCUUCAAAUUAUAUGAUGAGAAUGCCAUCUUACCUCUCUGUCUUCCUCCCAAAAACAUAUUAACCAUGAGGAAAACAUCAAAUUCCAGUUAAAGGAGAUUCUACAAAAUAGGCCUGACCAGUAAUCUUCAAAAUUGUGAAGAUCACCAAAAUUGUCAAGAUCACCAAAAAUCUGAAAAACAGUCACAGUCCAGGGGAGCCUAAGGAGGAUAAGAACUAAAUGUGGUCCCAGACAAGAUCCUGGAACAGAAAAUGAACACUAAGGGAAAACUAAGGAAAUAUGAACAAGGAGAUUCCAUGAAAGGAGAGAGGCUGGCACAGCUGGUUGUUCUAUGGCCAUGAGGAGAAGCAUGACAAGAGAGAAGAGAUGCCACUAGAUGAAAAGAACUCUCCAGAGAAGAGUGGAGGCCCAAACUGGGAAGUUAGCUGUAGCAGCUGAUGUCACAAAGCCUGGCUGAGGACCAAAGAGAAACAGGUUCGUUUGGAAGUUCGUAUCUGAGCAGACUGGCUCAACCAGAAGUCCAGAAAAGUGUGGACCAGCUUCAACAGGACAGCACUAACACAGACUACUGCAGUCUCUGCACAGAGAGGCCUAAAGGAGAGGUCACAGCAGUACUCUGCAGGUAACACUCCAUUUCCAACGAGCAGAGAAUCCCAAAGGAGGUGAUUUAGUGAUGAUCUCCAUCAGCCCUAGAGAGGGAUCGUCGUGGUCAGGAGACCCAGUUUUAGAGCCCGAAUCCUGGCCAUUCAUUGCCUAUGUGACCAGGUUACUGAAUCUCCUCUUCAUAAAGUAAUUAUGAGGAUUCAGUGAGUUGCUACAGGCAAAACGCUUAGAACAGCGCCUGUUAUAUAACAACUAACAUCAAUGUAGACUUGCUAUUUUCACUGGUAUUUUUUUUUUUUUUUGACUAGC
rnacentral:lncRNA from 1 species